GAAUGUGUUGUCCUAGAGAAAAAUUAAAUUAAAUUAAAUAAAAGAAAAAAAGGGAGAGUUGCGUGCAACAUAAGGAGAGAGAAUCCAAGAGAGCAAAUAGGAGUUAUAGCUUGGAGAUAAAAUAGGAGACGGUGCGCAGGAAAAAAAGAAGAGAGAAAUACAGAGAGAGAGAGAGAAGAGAGAGAAAGAGAGAGAGAGAGAGAGAGACAGAGAGACAGAGAGACAGAGGGAAGGAGAACCGUGGGCCAUAAAAGAUGAGGAAGAGAGGAGAAAGAUGAAAAAUUGUGGGCGAGAAAAGAAAGAAAGAAAGAGACCUUAGAGGAGAAUAACUGAUCUACCUUCCUACCUUCUUCUCUGCUCCAUUGAUUACUGUGUGUAUCUUCUUAUAAUGCAGAUCUAAACUACAAUCAAGUGAAUGGUUUGCUUCUGGUCUUAAUUCCUAUAACAGAUCCAAAAUAUCAGAGAAAUGAGAUGGAGGUAUGUUGGGAGCGGAGUUCGAGGGCGACUUGAAGAUAAUUCGAUUUAUAGCUUAUUGUUUUUAUUUUAUUAGAUGGAUGUAGUAGGGAGCAAUUUGAUGUAAAUUCUAAUAGAUUGGAUUUUGAAGUUUAAACUAAACAUACCUUAGAUUGCCAUCAGUAGGAGUUAUUUGAGAUUUAUGACAAUGAUUUGAUUAUUCGGUUUGA